CCCUUCGAUGUUCUGGGCCGCACGCGCGCUACACUGAUGCAUUCAACGAGCCUAUCCUUGACCGACAGGUCCGGGUAAUCUUUGAAUCUGCAUCGUGACGGGGAUAGAUUAUUGCAAUUAUUAAUCUUCAACGAGGAAUGCCUAGUAGGCGCAAGUCAUCAGCUUGCGUCGAUUACGUCCCUGCCCUUUGUACACACCGCCCGUCGCUCCUACCGAUUGGGUGUGCUGGUGAAAUGUUCGGAUCGGCCGUUUGUCGCGGUUUCCGCGGCUCGUGGCUGAGAAGUUCAUUAAACCCUCCCACCUAGAGGAAGGAGAAGUCGUAACA
rnacentral:rRNA from 1 species